rnacentral:rRNA from 1 species
ACUCUCGGCAACGGAUAUCUCGGCUCUCGCAUCGAUGAAGAACGUAGCGAAAUGCGAUACUUGGUGUGAAUUGCAGAAUCCCGUGAACCAUCGAGUCUUUGAACGCAAGUUGCGCCCGAAGCCAUCAGGUUGAGGGCACGUCUGCCUGGGCGUCACGC